UGGGGAAUAUUGCACAAUGGGCGCAAGCCUGAUGCAGCCAUGCCGCGUGUAUGAAGAAGGCCUUCGGGUUGUAAAGUACUUUCAGCGGGGAGGGAGGCGAUAAGGUUAAUAACCUUGUCGAUUGACGUUACCCGCAGAAGAAGCACCGGCUAACUCCGUGCCAGCAGCCGCGGUAAUACGGAGGGUGCAAGCGUUAAUCGGAAUUACUGGGCGUAAAGCGCACGCAGGCGGUCUGUCAAGUCGGAUGUGAAAUCCCCGGGCUCAACCUGGGAACUGCAUUCGAAACUGGCAGGCUAGAGUCUUGUAGAGGGGGGUAGAAUUCCAGGUGUAGCGGUGAAAUGCGUAGAGAUCUGGAGGAAUACCGGUGGCGAAGGCGGCCCCCUGGACAAAGACUGACGCUCAGGUGCGAAAGCGUGGGGAGCAAACA
rnacentral:rRNA from 1 species